CAGCCGCCGCGGUAAUACGAAGGUCCCGAGCGUUGUUCGGAAUCACUGGGCGUAAAGGGAGCGUAGGCGGCGUGGUAAGUCAGAUGUGAAAUCCCGGGGCUCAACCCCGGAACUGCAUCCGAUACUGCCAUGCUAGAGGAUUGGAGAGGUAGCUGGAAUUCUUGGUGUAGCAGUGAAAUGCGUGGAGAUCAAGAGGAACACUCGUGGCGAAAGCGAGCUACUGGACAAUAACUGACGCUGAGGCUCGAAGGCCAGGGUAGCGAAAGGGAUUAGAGACCCGCGUAGUCCCUGUCUCUUAUAC
rnacentral:rRNA from 1 species